GCCAGUGGUCCGUCAACUGAGAGUCGGGUUCUGCUCAAACUUGGCAACCGAUCGCUGCAAUUAUGGCCAGUGUGUGGGCUGUCACCAGAACACCUUGAUGACGGCAUAUAUAGCCACUGCUGGGGCUGAUUGGUUGUAUAACCGAGGCCUCUGUGGCUGUGGGACAAAUGCUUUAUCUCCCUUUGUUUUACUUCGGCGGCACAUAAAUCUUGAACUUGCAUUUACAUUCUGUGAGCCCAGCACCCUUGCGACCUUUGGAAAUGCAGGGUGUACGGAAAAUUAGGUUUAAGUGGACGAAAUAUUGUUUCGAGACGUGAGAGAAUUCCCAUCAAGGAGAGCGGAUUCCCCCAGUUAUCACUUUUCAGCAUUAAAGAUAUUUACCAUAAAUAAACUAUAUGUUA